CUUGGUUCCCAGGGUUUGGCCAUCUUCUAAAGAAUUUGACCCUACUGAAGAACUAUCUUGACUAUCUUGAUAAGGCAGGUGAAGAAAUCCUUCGCUGGAGUCUGAGCGGGAUAAUCCUGAAAGUAGCUGUGAUUAUUUCUACUUUAGAGAGGAAGCUAAUGAUUGGAGAAAUAAAAUGACUUGUCCACAGUCAUACAGACAGUAAAAUAUUUACUGCUAUCAAGUAUUAGUUGAACACAUUCAGCUAAUAAGCAAUAAGAAUUGAUUGCCAAUUACUGAAAAUUGAUGAAGAUCUGCAACAUUAUCACAGCCUUUCCAAGACUUGUAAUCCAGACACCUAGAAAACAACUUAGCCAAGAGAAAAGGAAGAAAAGCUCUGAGGAUCAAGAAAGAGGCGUCAGAAAAACUACAAAUUACAGAGAAACUGAAGGAACUCAAGACAACAAAGAGAAAAGAAGAAAGAAAUUUGGAAUGCUAACCCUCCCUCCAGGAAAAGGGGACUUAUUCCCAAAACACAAGAUACAAUAAGCCCCAGGGAGAAAAAAUGGACCAGCAGCUCUAGCUCCAUAAGCUGGUUCCUGAAACUGCAAAUAAAGUGUAGGAUUUAUUCUGAUAAUGACUUUUUCCAAAUGGCAGGGUAGAGUUGUGGAAGAAUUCCAUUGCAAUGCCCACUGUAUUGGGGAGCAAUUAAUUAGGAGCCAUUAUGGGAAGGGGUUCACUGUUGGCACACACAACUUCAUAAAACAAAAACUACCGGAAAAAAAGGUCAGACAAACACCAAUGCCAUCAUAGCAGGGGACUUCAACACCCCACUCUCACAAUUAGGUCAACCAGACAAAAACUUAAAGAAAUAUAAGUAUUCAACAACAUCACUGAAUAAAUGGACAUACCUAUAUAAUGUUUCAUCCAACAACAGAAUACUCCAGUUUUCUCAGCAGCACAUAGAACUUUUUACAAAAUAGACAAUAUAUUAGGCCAUAAAGCACAACUAAAUACAAAAGAAUUGAAACAACCCCCUGUAGACCAUCAGAGUAUAGUACAGUGAAACUAGAAAUCAGCCAGAGAAACUACAGAAAUUACAUAAACACAUGGAGAUUAAAGAAUACAUUACUGAAUAAUCAAUGAAUUAAUCGGGGAAGGAAUAUAAAAGUUCCUAGCAUCAAAUGGAAAACAGAAGAACAAGAUACCAAAACCUAUAGGACACAAAGAGGUUGUAAGAGGGAUUUUUAUAGCUGUGAAUGCACACAUUAAAUAGUUGUGUAAUCCUAAAUAAAUAACCUAACGAUGCAUCUCAAGGUCUUAGAAAAACAAGAGAAAUCCAAAUCUAAAAUUAACAGAAGAAAACGUAAAAAGAUCAGAACAGAAAUUAAUGAACUUGAGAUUUAAAAAGUAAUACAAGGAAUCAAUGAAUCAGAGUUGGUUCUUUGAAAGGAUAAACAAGAUUGAUAAACUCCUUGCCAAAUUUAUAAAAAAAGAAAAACCCAUGUCAAUACAAUUAGAAAUUAAAAAUUAAAAAAAUUAAAAAUUAGAAAAAACCCUGUAACUGAAAGUGCCCAAAUCCAGAUUAUAAGAAACUACUUUGAAAACAUACUCCAAUAAAGAGCAGAACCUAUAAGAAUGAAGAAAUUCCUAGACACAUACGAAUUACCAAAACUGAACCAAGGAGACAUAAAAACUCUGAAUAUAACAAAAACAGGUAAUGAACUUGAGGCAGUACUGAAAGUUCUACCAACAUAGAAAAGUCUAGGACCCAAUGGCAUCAUCACAGAAUUCUACUAGAAUUUCAGGAAAAAAUUAACAACAAUAUUUCUCAAACUCUUCAGUGAAUUCUAAAGAGAAGAGGGGUACUGCCAAACUCAUUCCUGGCAGCUAGCAUUACCUUGAUACCAACACUGGACAAGGACUUUAUCAUAAAAGCAAAUCUACGGGCCAGUCUUCUUAAUGUAGAUAGACUCAAAAAUUCUCAACACAAUACUGGCAAACAGAAUGCUACAAAUGAUUAAAAAGAUCAUAACAUGACCAAGUUGGGUUUAUCUCAGACAUGGAAGCAUGGCUCAACACUUAUAAAUCAAUAAAUGUAAUACAUCACAUCAAUAAAAGCAAGAUAAUAAUCACAUGAUCAGCUCAAUAGAAACAAAAGAGCCUUUGGCAAAAUACAUCCAUUCAAGAUAAAAAUCCUGAAGAAAAUAGGUAUACGAUGACCUUAUCUCAAUCUGAUAAAAGCCAUAUAUAUGACAAACCCGCUGCCAACAUCACAGUUAAUGGAGAAAAAAAUUGAAAGCUUGUCUCUAAAAUCAGGAAGAAGACAAAAGUGUCCAUUCUCACCACUCCUGUUCAAUAUAACACUUGAAACUGUACAUGGAACAAUCAGACAAGAGAAAAAAUAAAAAACAAAAGGAAUACAUAUAGGAAAGGAAAAAAAAAUCUAUCCUUAUUCCUAGAUGGCAUGAUCCUUUACAUAUGACCAAAAAAACUCAUCCAAAAAAAUUCCUAGAAUUAAUAAAUUCAGCAAUGUAGCAGGAUAUAAAAUCAACACAAGAAUCAGUAGUGUUUCUGUACACCAAUAAUGAACCCACUGAAAAGAAAUAAGGAAAGUAAUCUCAUCCACAGUAGCAUCAAAAAAUUAAAUAUGUGGGCCAGGGAUUUAGCUCAGUGGUGCCUCCACCUGCCUCACAAGUGGAAGGUCCCAAAUUCAAUCUCUGGUUCAAUAUAUAUAUAUAUAUAUAUAUAUAAUUAACCUAACCAAGGAAGUGAAAGACUUUUAUAACAAAACUAAAGUUUCAUAUCCUGGAACAAAAAAAAGAGACA